AGUUCCUCCUGCCUCUAGGUUCCUCUUUCCCUGCUGAUUCCAGGAGCCUAUCAACCCAGAUAAAGCGGGACCUCCUCUCUGGUAGAGGUGCAGGGGGCAGUACUCAACAUGAUCACAGAGGGAGCGCAGGCCCCUCGAUUGUUGCUGCCGCCGCUGCUCCUGCUGCUCACCCUGCCAGCCACAGGCUCAGACCCCGUGCUCUGCUUCACCCAGUAUGAAGAAUCCUCCGGCAAGUGCAAGGGCCUCCUGGGGGGUGGUGUCAGCGUGGAAGACUGCUGUCUCAACACUGCCUUUGCCUACCAGAAACGUAGUGGUGGGCUCUGUCAGCCUUGCAGUCCUUACCUUUGCUUACUGCGGACCUGGUGUUGGCCAUGCAGCCUUCCAAUGGUAACUCCAGAUGCCUGAUUGUGAAGGUCCCCACGAUGGUCCCUGUGGUCCACAUGGGCCCCCUGUUCGGUGACGUGCUCUGAGGGCUCCCAGCUGCGGUACCGGCGCUGUGUGGGCUGGAAUGGGCAGUGCUCUGGAAAGGUGGCACCUGGGACCCUGGAGUGGCAGCUCCAGGCCUGUGA
rnacentral:lncRNA from 1 species